CCCCGCUUGUCCAUGCUCUUGACUUUGGGUUACAGUUUUAAAUUGCAUCGACUCUUAGCCCAACCCUAAGCUUUUGGACGCGUAAGAAAACUCGCAGAGGAAAGAUUCAGCUCUCCGUGGCAACGCUUUUUACCGCAGUGUCGCGAUCCGAUCUAAGGAACCUGUCUUUUCCAGCUCCGCAGUGGAACGAUCAUUUUAAGGAGAAACUAACGUGAGGGAAAUUACUCGAAGUAGACCCGCUGAAAUUAAAAGGACAAAUCUGUCUAUAAAGUGCGAAACUGCCCAGCGAAUGGCACCUGCCUGUCCUUGGUAUUCCGUUCCUAGCUGCCUAGAUUGCCUUGACUUCAACCGUGGACUUAGUAGGGUCGGACUGCCGUGCCUGUGUGUGUCAUCAAGACAACAUGACUGGAACAAAACAAAGCAGCGAGGAGCCAUCUGUGCUUGGGGCAAAAAGGAAUUCUGAACACUGCCGUCAAUUUGGUAAAGGAGCCUUUACCUGUGACCGGUUAAUGCUAUUACCCCUUGUUACAAAGGCAACGACAAGCGGAGAUCCGGGUUUCCUUUUGUACGGGCUUUUGAUUUGCUUCUGCCGCUGGACAGAGAAAGCAGCGCCCUGAUGAGGCCGGACUUCGAAGGCAAAAUGAAACAAAGUAUCUGGUUAGCAGGACGUGAGGUUUAUUAUAAGGGAGGCGGGGGCAAAACUGUAAACAAGUUCGGAGAGUCAGACAGACAAAUCAAAUGGCCAACACUUCUGAGAAGCAACGUUUAUUUCUUUCCAUUGUAGAACCAGGUCCUGAAUUUCCCAAAGCCCAGAAUGGGAAAGAAAUGACUUUUCUUGGCUGCGGAAGUAAAUCCGUCUUCAGAACUGAAGCAGCACCAACAUGUUUUUGUUUUUUUAAAAAGAAAAAAUCUGAAGAGGAAAAUACAACAAAACACAACAAUCUUUUUUAUUCUUCUUAUUAUUUAUGUAAAUCAGGUCAUCACUGGACAAGAAACCAAUUUCUACCCAUUACCAUAACAGCUUGUCUAUAAAGAACAGAAAAAAAAGUCAGAUUGGGUACUAUCUAGAGUCAAGCGUUUGCAAAUAUUUUUUUUGUCUUUUUGAUCUUUUUUUCCUUGUUUUAAAUUCCCCCACCCAUUCACAGAGGUAUAGUCACAGAUAAAUAACCCCAAAACUACUUGCUCGCCAUAUUUACACAAUCCCGUUAAAUUAAGCAUAAAUAAAUAUAUACAAACUCAUCAUUGAAUGCCUCUCCGCUCCCCACCCCUUUUCUGGAAGAGACGCUAAAAUAGAUAUUAUUCUUAUGGAAAGACUAUUCAAGAAGAGUAGAUGUUGGUUUUGCUUUGUUUUAAAUAAGGUCUCGAUUUGGGCACAGGGAGGGAGAUACUAUGGAUUUCACACUCCUGUUUCCGCUAUCUCUCUUUGC